AAUUUUUGGGAAGCUUUUGGCGUGAGUGGUGGGGUAAGAUAGAUCUAUCAUAUUUAUGAUAUGAAAAAUCUUGCCUACACCGCCCAUGCCCAUAUCUUCCAAUUAUUUCU